rnacentral:tRNA from 1 species
GUUCCCGUAGCUCAAUGGGCAGAGCACCCGGCUCUUAACCGGGUUGUUGUUGGUUCGAGUCCAGCCGGGAACA